rnacentral:rRNA from 1 species
CCCGACUGCUAUUGGGUGAGAAUAAGCCAUGCGAGUCGAAUGGGAAACCUAAACUUCCCAUGGCAAACUGCUCAGUAACACAUGAUCAACUUACCCUACAGAGAAAAAUAACCUCGGGAAACUGAGGAUAAUAUUUCAUAAUUGAAAAGGCUUGGAAAAGUUUUUCAACUAAAGGAUAAGAAAAAUGGUUUUUAUUCGCUGUAGGAUAGGAUCGUGCUCGAUUAUGGUUGUUGGUGAGGUAAUGGCUCACCAAGCCGAUAAUCGAUAGGGGCCGUGAGAGCGGGAGCCCCGAGAUGGGUACUGAGACAACGACCCAGGCCUUACGAGGCGCAGCAGGCGCGAAACCUCCGCAAUACACGAAAGUGUGACGGGGUUACCCAAAGUGUUCAAUUAUGAUCUGUGGUAGGUGAGUAAUGUUCCCUACUAGAAAGGAGAGGGCAAGGCUGGUGCCAGUCGCCGCGGCAAAACCAGCUCCUCAAGUGGUAGGGAUAAUUAUUCGGGUUACAGUGUCGGUAACCGCAUUACUAAGUUGUGAAUAAAAUCGGGUAGCUUAACUAUCGCCCCGUAGGAAUACUGCCCUACUAGCGGACGGGAGAGGUGGGAGGUCACUCACAUGUAGGGGUGAAAUCAAAUAUUCGGUGAAGGGUCACCUCUGCAGAAGCCGUCUCGGCGGCACCCCCCUCCCGGGGAGGGCCGACAUCCAGGGGAGCGAUCCAGAUGGGCUAGCCGGGUAGUCAGGAAUCCACACGAUGCGUGUUAGGUGAUCGCAUCCCGUGAUCCAUGUCAGUGCAAGAGGGAAACCGUUAAGUGUGCCGACUGGGAAGUACGGUCGCAAGGCUAAAACGGAAAGGAAUUGGCGCGGGAGCUCCACAAGGGGUGAAACCAGCGG